ACUCUUUGGACACUCGUAUACAGGUGGUGCAUGGUUGUCGUCAGCUCGUGUCGUGAGAUGUUGGGUUAAGUCCCGCAACGAGCGCAACCCUCGUUCUAUGUUGCCAGCACGUAAUGGUGGGAACUCAUGGGAUACUGCCGGGGUCAACUCGGAGGAAGGUGGGGAUGCUCUCAAAUCAUCAUGCCCCUUAUGUCUUGGGCUUCACGCAUGCUACAAUGGCCGGUACAAAGGGCUGCAAUACCGUGAGGUGGAGCGAAUCCCAAAAAGCCGGUCCCAGUUCGGAUUGAGGUCUGCAACUCGACCUCAUGAAGUCGGAGUCGCUAGUAAUCGCAGAUCAGCAACGCUGCGGUGA
rnacentral:rRNA from 1 species